rnacentral:rRNA from 1 species
AUUGAACGCUGGCGGCAGGCUUAACACAUGCAAGUCGAGCGGGGUGAUGGUGCUUGCACUAUCACUUAGCGGCGGACGGGUGAGUAAUGCUUAGGAAUCUGCCUAUUAGUGGGGGACAACAUCUCGAAAGGGAUGCUAAUACCGCAUACGUCCUACGGGAGAAAGCAGGGGAUCACUUGUGACCUUGCGCUAAUAGAUGAGCCUAAGUCGGAUUAGCUAGUUGGUGGGGUAAAGGCCUACCAAGGCGACGAUCUGUAGCGGGUCUGAGAGGAUGAUCCGCCACACUGGGACGGAGACGCGGCCCAGACUCCGACGGGAGGCAGCAGUGGGGAAUAUUGGACAAUGGGAGGAACCCUGAUCCAGCCAUGCCGCGUGUGUGAAGAAGGCCUUAUGGUUGUAAAGCACUUUAAGCGAGGAGGAGGCUCUUUUGGUUAAUACCCAAGAUGAGUGGACGUUACUCGCAGAAUAAGCACCGGCUAACUCUGUGCCAGCAGCCGCGGUA